UACGUAGGGUCCGAGCGUUGUCCGGAAUCAUUGGGCGUAAAGGGUACGUAGGCGGAUAAGCAAGUUAGAUGUGAAAUCCUAUGGCUCAACUAUAGUAAGCUUUGGAAACUGCUGAUCUUGAGGUAUGGAAGGGAAAGUGGAAUUCCUAGUGUAGCGGUGAAAUGCGUAGAUAUUAGGAGGAAUACCGGUGGCGAAGGCGACUUUCUGGCCAUAAACUGACGCUGAGGCACGAAAGCGUGGGUAGCAAACAGG
rnacentral:rRNA from 1 species